GUUUUUCCGUCACAAUAAAAUUCCUUAACUUCUAAAAUUGUUAUCUGAUAAGAAAUUAUAAAUAUUGUAGCUAUUACUGUUAAUACGAGUAUUCGACUUUUCCGAUUUGCUUGGUAGGCGUGAGAAAAGCUGGAAAUAUACUAGAAAAAUACUACAAUAUAAAUUGCAAUAAAAUAUACCAUAUAUAGUAGCACAACAUAUACCAGACUGUCAGAAAAGGUGUUCAUGCGGACGGACAGACAGACAGGAGGACAUGGCUAUAUCGUCGCGGCUGAUCCUGAUCAAAUAUCUAUAUUCUUUAUAGGGUCAGAGAUGCCUCUUUCUGCCUCUUACAUACAUUUCCCGCAGUCAUAAAGUUAUAACACCCUUCUAACCUAUGAGUAGCGAGUAUAAACAUAUCGUACAGUGGCGGAACAAAAUCAUAAACAAAACAAAGACAGAAAAGAGUGACAAAGAGAAAGAGUGCGAAAGAGCGAGCGCGAGUUGAAUGCGAGUGCAUUGUGAGUGCACGGCGAGUACUCGUUUAUGCAUGAGUAUAAGUAUGAGUGUGAGUGUGUGUGAGUGCAUUGACAACUCAACAGUCGACAGUCGACAACCGAGACUCAGGGUCAGUUCUUAUGCAUGGCGUCACCCGCUAUGAAACCCAGUCGGAGAUCAAUACAGUUGACAACAAGCCACAGCGAACAGCGAGUGGAAGGGCACGCUGGUGGGCAAACAGCUAAUUGCAUUAAAAACUAUAGACUCAUAACUGAUGGAAAAUUGCGCAAACAAUAGCUGCAUAAGCAGCAAAGUCUUCAAUGAAAAUCGAUUUCAACGUAUUUAUUGAGAAAUGUCGCAUUAACAAUUUGAUUUAAAUAAUCUUCUAAUAUCGAGAAUUUACAUUUGGAAUUUCUUUAUUUGUCAAUUAUAGAAAGAUUUAU